AUUGAACGCUGGCGGCAUGCUUUACACAUGCAAGUCGAACGGUAACAGGCCGCAAGGUGCUGACGAGUGGCGAACGGGUGCGUAAUGCAUCGGAACGUGCCCAGUCGUGGGGGAUAACUACUCGAAAGAGUAGCUAAUACCGCAUACGAUCUAUGGAUGAAAGCGGGGGACCGUAGGGCCUCGCGCGAUUGGAGCGGCCGAUGUCAGAUUAGGUAGUUGGUGGGGUAAAGGCUCACCAAGCCAACGAUCUGUAGCUGGUCUGAGAGGACGACCAGCCACACUGGGACUGAGACACGGCCCAGACUCCUACGGGAGGCAGCAGUGGGGAAUUUUGGACAAUGGGCGCAAGCCUGAUCCAGCAAUGCCGCGUGCAGGAAGAAGGCCUUCGGGUUGUAAACUGCUUUUGUACGGAACGAAACGGCUCUGGUUAAUACCCGGGGCUAAUGACGGUACCGUAAGAAUAAGCACCGGCUAACUACGUG
rnacentral:rRNA from 1 species